GAAGCCUUCCCAAUCCAGUAAGGAAGUUCUCUUCAGGGCAGAGGGAGAGCAAAACCCCAGAGGGGUGCAAUCUUGGAAAAGGUCAAUGAGUCACAAACACAGAUGGGCUCAGAAGCUAUAGCCUCCAUAUCUUAGCACAGAGACCCGUGGAAUCCGAAGGUGCUGCUGGGAUAGGCAAGAGGGACAACUCAGCAGCUUCUCAUCUGUUCCUGUGACUAAUGACCGGGGGAAGCCCCCGGCCUCCGUACUGGUCUUGGGGCAGUGUCCCCAGCCAUGACAGAAGCUAAGGUUGGGGUUGAUGAUAUUUAACCAGGCCCUGCUCCUUCCUUACAUUUGGAACUGAUUGGGAAGUAGACACAAGAGGCAAGUGGAUGGAAAUACAA
rnacentral:lncRNA from 1 species